AAUGAGAGAAUGGUUAAUCAGAUUUUUCCUCUUGAUUUUCAGCCUUUUCCUCCUGAAAAAAUUCAAAUCAAACUAAAAACAUUAAAAAUUAAGAAAAAAAAUAUGAUUUAUCAUUCUCCCAUU
rfam:Gossypium raimondii Chr04_contig_1195, whole genome shotgun sequence.